UACGUAGGGGGCGAGCGUUGUCCGGAAUUACUGGGCGUAAAGAGCUUGUAGGUGGUUUGUCGCGUUGUUCGUGAAAUCUCACGGCUUAACUGUGAGCGUGCGGGCGAUACGGGCAGACUAGAGUACUGCAGGGGAGACUGGAAUUCCUGGUGUAGCGGUGGAAUGCGCAGAUAUCGGGAAGAACACCCGUGGCUAAGGCGGCUCUCUAGUACGGUACUGACGCUGAGACGCGAAAGCGUGUGGAGCGAACAGG
rnacentral:rRNA from 1 species